rnacentral:rRNA from 1 species
ACGUAGGGAGCAAGCGUUGUUCGGAUUUACUGGGCGUAAAGGGCGCGUAGGCGGCGCGGUAAGUCACUUGUGAAAUCUCUGAGCUUAACUCAGAACGGCCAAGUGAUACUGCAGUGCUAGAGUGCAGAAGGGGCAAUCGGAAUUCUUGGUGUAGCGGUGAAAUGCGUAGAUAUCUGGAGGAACACCGGUGGCGAAGGCGACAUCCUGGACCGGUAUUGACGCUGAGGCGCGAAAGCCAGGGGAGCAAACGGGA